UACGAAGGGGGCUAGCGUUGCUCGGAAUUACUGGGCGUAAAGCGCACGUAGGCGGAUUGUUAAGUUAGGGGUGAAAUCCCAGGGCUCAACCCUGGAACUGCCUUUAAUACUGGCAAUCUCGAGUCCGAGAGAGGUGAGUGGAAUUCCGAGUGUAGAGGUGAAAUUCGUAGAUAUUCGGAGGAACACCAGUGGCGAAGGCGGCUCACUGGCUCGGUACUGACGCUGAGGAGCGAAAGCCAGGGGAGCAAACGGG
rnacentral:rRNA from 1 species